rnacentral:rRNA from 1 species
CGGGACGGGUGGAGUAAUGUCGUAGGGAAACGUCGCCUGAGGGAGGGGGAUAACUACUGGAAACGGUAGCUAAUACCGCAUAACGUCGCAAGACCAAAGAGGGGGACCUUCGGGCCUCUUGCCAUCGGAUGUGCCCAGAUGGGAUUAGCUAGUAGGUGGGGUAACGGCUCACCUAGGCGACGAUCCCUAGCUGGUCUGAGAGGAUGGCCAGCCACACUGGAACUGAGACACGGUCCAG